rnacentral:rRNA from 1 species
UACAUGGGGGUGCAAACGUUGCUCGGAAUCAUUGGGCGUAAAGCGCGCGUAGGCGGUUGCUUAAGUCGGAUGUGAAAGCCCUCGGCUUAACUGAGGAAGUGCAUCCGAAACUGAGCAGCUAGAGUACGAAAGAGGGUCGCGGAAUUCCCGGUGUAGAGGUGAAAUUCGUAGAUAUCGGGAGGAACACCGGUGGCGAAGGCGGCGACCUGGGUCGAGACUGACGCUGAGGAGCGAAAGCGUGGGGAGCAAACAGG